GUGGAUGCCCCUCAAAACUCUGAGAUCAUUUCUUCCUGAUUGGUUGGAAGCGGCACCUAAUACGUGGCAAAUUGUGAGUGUAGAAAGUACAGACACUAGGGAAAGGAAGAGCUGAAAGCGAGUCCCGGGUGGUCGGGAGGCGACCGACCUUAUAGGAUGUGCUGCUGUGGCUCUUCUAGAGCCUCGUCUUUUUGGAAAGGCGAAAACAAAGCCGGAAACAUAAGUGAGUUCUCAAGCCAUGUGUUUAGAAGUAGAAAGGAUGAGGCAGAUUCUGGAGCCAAUACUGCGUGCGGCCCCUAAGUUGCUGACUGGGCUUUAGAGAAGAAAACCAAAACUGCAAAAGGCAAAACUGUAGAAGAUUUGAAUGUUCAGUUAAGGAAUUGAAACUUCAUUCAGCAGUUAAGGACACCCUGAAGAUUUUUUAGCAAAGGAGUGAAAGGAUGAAAAUUGUGGUUUAUGAAGAUGCAUCCGUCUGCUGUGUAUUCAAAAGAAUAGCAUCAAAGAUGAGAGUGAUUGGGAGGCUCUUGCCCAUCAAAUUUCUGUGAAGAUUUUUUUAAAAAAAUGUAUUGACUUAAACAUGCUGUUAUUAACGUCAGAAAGCAAAAACGUAAAAAGCCCAAUUUCCCUCUCCUUCUUGCACCGUAUUUUCUUGCUCCUACAAGCACAACAAAACUUAGUGUUCUAAAAAACGUGUUUUCAGUUCUCAAACACACUAGUCAGGCUUUCAUGCCCAUAACUCCACCAAAGGGCUCUUUCUGAGGUCACCACUGAUAAUUCAAAGGACAUUUGUCAGUCUUCAUCUUAUUUAACCCAGUAACUCAAUCUUACCUGUAUAAAAUAUUUUUCACUGGUUAUCUUGCUAUCAAAAGGCAGGGGCACAACACUUACUAGGUUUCAUUUUAACUGAAUCACUUUUGUAAAGGCCUUAUCACCCAUAUGGUUCCAAUCUGAAGUGGGGGUGAGGAGGAAGGACUUCAUAUGAAUUUGGAAGUAAGGGAAGCACAAUUCAGCCCAUAACACCUAGACAGAUCCUUACAAAGCUGUUCCUUCUAUUCCUUCAAGGUUCUGUUACUGUCCCAGUGAAGCCUCUCCUGACCACCCUUUUUAAAAAUUUUAAAACAUUUAAAAUUUUUUCAAUUACAGUUUACAUUCAAUAUUAUUUUGUAUUAGUUUUAAGUGUGCAGCAGAAUGGUUAGAUAGUCAUAUACUUUACGAAGUGUUCCCCCAAUAUUCUUAGUACCCACCUGGCACCAUACAUAGUUAUUACAAUAUUAUUGACUAUAUUCCCUAUGCUGUACUUUACAUACCUGGACUAUUUUAUAACUACCAAUCUGUACUUCUCAAUUCCUUCACCUUUUCCAUCCAGUUCCCUAAAACCCCUCCCAGCUGGCAACUAUCAAUGUGUUCUUUGUAUCUUUGAGUCUGUUUCUGGGUUUUUUUUUUUUUCAUUUAUAUUGUUCUUUGGCUUUCACAUAUAAGUGAAAUCAUAUGGUAUUUGCCAUUCUCUGACUGACUUAUUUCACUUAGCAUAAUACCCUCUAUCCUGAUGACCCCUUUCUUCUUUUAAAACUGACCAGUAUUUACUCAGCAAAAUAGGAGAUAAGCCCUCCUGACUAGAUAAGGAAUUUAAUAAGUAACAUGAAAAAGGUGUCAGAAAAUUAACAUGAAGUGAAAAAUGAUUGUUGAUUUCUUGUAAUUGUCCUUUUGAAAUUACAUAGCUAGUGUAGGUAUUUUAGUGAACCUAGUCUUCAUGGCUUUGUAAGUUUUUCCAAAAAAUGUCAUGGUAUGAACAAUAAUCUGCAUUAAUAAAUUAGGAGUCUGCUUGCCACCACUAAA